GGGCUCAUGGCUCAAUUGGUAGAGCAUCCCCAUGGCAUGGGGAAGGUUGUGGGUUCAAGUCCCACUGAGUCCA
rnacentral:tRNA from 1 species